CUCAGCCACCCUGGACAUGAGGCCCUAGAAGUGGCCUGAUUGGCCAAUUUGCAAAAAGGGGCGUGGUUUCGGCUGCAGCACGGUCGAUCCACGCCUCUACUCUUCAGUUCUUUUCAGGAUCUCAUGAGGAAGGAGCUCUUUACUUGGGCUCCUUCCACUUAGGCCUGGGGAGGGUUCGCCCAGGAGCGGGUGUGGCAGUUCUCCAGCGGGUUCCUUCAGGUCCCGCUGUGCAGGGCAUUAGGUAGACAAGUCUCCAGGCUUUGCAGAAUACCAGCGGGGCUCUGUGGCCUGUGGGCCCGAUCGCAGCCUUCUCCAGUGUCCUGUUCCGACAUCUGCAUCACGGCAGGGCUUUGGCCCUUUGGUUUGUUGCAGGCCCGGGAGGGCCGUGGGGUGGGGCAUUUUGCAAGUUUUUCUACAGCUUUCUUGGCUCUCCUGAUCUUUGGAAGGGGUUUCUGGCUGCUUUUGGGGGCCUUGUUGUGAGGGGUUGUUGCUGGGCUUUCGAGUUGGCUUCUGAGGUUUUUUCCUUGAGCUUUGGUAUCCCCUGGGGGUGGCUAAGGUUUUUUCCCUUCGUGCAAACCUCUCCCACAUCCAUAGGGUUGCUCUGUAGAGCAAGAAUUGGGGGUUGGCUUCUCCUUCUAAUAUUGGUUGAGGGCUUGUGGGUGUUUUCACGAUGCCCAGGAAAGCUAAGGAGAAAAGGGGUGGGAAGCCUGUUAGGCAGCCCAAAGGCCCCCCCCUUCUUCCUCGGAUGAGGAUGAUGAAGAAAUGGCCCUUAUUAGGGGCUUGAUUGGUAGGAUGGAGGCCUUGGAGAAGUCUCGCAGCGCUCCUUCUGAUAAGGGUGCUGGUCCUUCUGGCGGGGUGGUGGUGUCCCUCCUCCCAAGGUGCCUCGCAGGACCAGGGGGGCUGCCCGGAAUCAGCUUUUAAAAUCACUCUCUAGUAGGUUGGAGGCGUUGGAAAAGGGGGGGGGGCAGCCGGCCCGGCUCCUCCCUCAGGUCCGCAAGAUCCAUCCAUGCCUGAUGACCUGGUUCCUGGAAGGCCUGCUCCCGUGGCUCCAUUGCCGUCGCCUGAGGACCCGGCUCCUGUGCUGCCUGCUCCGUCGCUUCCACUGCCUGCUGCGCCGGUUGAACCUCUGCCUGUGGACCCUCGAGUACCGGUGGCCCCGGACCCCGACACCAAACUCUUCAAACAUCUUAUAAAAGAGAUAAUCACAAGAACUACAAAAGAGUGAUCACCCGAGCUUUAAAGUGGAGCAUAGGUAAUGAAUUGGCACCAGUUUUCAUUACAGUGUGUGUGUGUAUGUAAAAAGUGCAAAGGAACACCUGAUCUAUGGAUAUUUAUAGAGCAGAGAAUGUGUGCAGUUUUAAAAAAUAUGUAUGGCUGAUCCAGUCUUUAGCAGCUACAAGUAGCUCAAACACUUACUGUACAUAUAGUAAGAGGCUGAGCAAAUAAAUCAAUCACAUUUUAAACGAACAUUUUUGGCAAAAUCAAAAACGGCCCCCCAUUUCAAUUAUAUUUUGGUAGUUGCUUCAACAUUGUUGGUUUCUUCAUGGCCUUAAUUCUGUUUUGACUUCAUUUGCUAUCAGUGACAUCGGUGAAGUAGUCAAAUCUAAUUGCAGCCAAGCUGUGACAUCAUCACAUUCACCACUUGUCUCCUUAUUGGUUGGGCUUAACCUUAAGAGUAUUGCAGGAAGAAGAAAGAAGCCCUAACCAGGAAAAUUACAGUACCCUAAAAACAGAAGCUAGGAGAAACAUUGACAAACAACAGGAUGCAAAGAAGGUGAAUGUUCACAUAAUUUAAAAAGAGGAAUAAUUUCUAUCUACCACUAUAAGUUAUUUUUGAAUGAAAAUCACAAUGGAAAAUAUGAUGUACAUUCCUAAUAAAAAUUUCCAUUUCUAUUUUGAAUAUUU